UACGGGGGGGGUAAGCGUUGUUCGGAAUUACUGGGCGUAAAGGGCUCGUAGGCGGCCAACUAAGUCGGACGUGAAAUCCCUCAGCUUAACUGGGGAACUGCGUCCGAUACUGGAUGGCUUGGAUUUGGGAGAGGGAUGCGGAAUUCCAGGUGUAGCGGUGAAAUGCGUAGAUAUCUGGAGGAACACCGGUGGCGAAGGCGGCACCCUGGACCAAUAUUGACGCUGAGGAGCGAAAGCCAGGGGAGCAAACAGG
rnacentral:rRNA from 1 species